rnacentral:misc_RNA from 1 species
UACGGAGGGUGCAAGCGUUGUCCGGAUUUAUUGGGUUUAAAGGGUGCGUAGGCGGACUAAUAAGUCAGUGGUGAAAGCCUGCAGCUUAACUGCAGAAUUGCCGUUGAUACUGUUAGUCUUGAGUACAGUUGAGGUAGGCGGAAUGUGUCAUGUAGCGGUGAAAUGCUUAGAUAUGACACAGAACACCGAUUGCGAAGGCAGCUUGCUAAGCUGUAACUGACGCUGAGGCACGAAAGCGUGGGGAGCAAACAGG